rnacentral:rRNA from 1 species
ACGCUCGACACCUACGGGGAGCAGCAGUGGGGAAUAUUGCACAAUGGGGGAAACCCUGAUGCAGCGACGCCGCGUGAGCGAAGAAGUAUUUCGGUAUGUAAAGCUCUAUCAGCAGGGAAGAAACUGACGGUACCUGACUAAGAAGCACCGGCUAAAUACGUGCCUGCAGCCGCGGUAAUCUGAGCGGGCUGGCAAGGC